ensembl:lncRNA
UACUAAUAUAAUCUUAAGAAAAUGCUGAUCAUAAAAAUGGGCUCUGGAAAUAGUUUAUCAUAGUGUCAUAUAUAUAGAUAACAAAAAUAAUUUUUAAAGCUAUUAAACAAUGAUCCAAGCAAUUCAAGGAGGAAGGAUUUGAUCUAAAGGGAAAAAAAACAACCCAACUUUUUUUGAAAAAAUGAUUGCACAUAAAUGAUUGAAGUGUAACUCAUGACUCUAUACAUAGGGGACAGAACCCACACUCUGUCUUUUAUUUAUCAUAUAUUCACAUUGCAUACCUUUUAAAAUUGGCUGCAGAAAUACUUUUAUGGUUUUAGAAAGGCACAAACUUUGAGGAAACAAAUGAAGCCAAAUUCAUUUUCUAUUAAAUAAAUACAUCCAAAUUAUCCAUUGUGGGGGGCAGGGUGCAUAUGUGAAAAAAUGAUUGAAUUCCAUGCCUCUUAUUACAAGUUAAUUCCUUUCUAAAUAUGUGGUAUAACCAAAGUAAUACUGAGACUGAUGAAAACCAUUCCACAUAUUCUCUAUCACACAACUGUGAAAAUAAGUUUCAUUACUUUAUAGUUAAACCAUAUAAAAUUCCAAAUAGGAAAAAUGGAAUGCUUUAUCAACUAAAAUCCCAAUCUAGCCACUGGCAUUUAAUGAAUCAUGUGCAGAGUUCAUUGGCAUCUAGGACAGUAACUUCAGAAAAGCUUUCACAAAUUCCAAGCUAACUGGCUUUAACAUGGUCAUUUUCAUUUUUCUGUUAGUGGGGGUAGCUCUCAAAAUUCAUUAAUUUUUAAGCAUUUACACAAAGCUCAAGCCCCAUUUUCCCAAAAGUUCUUUCUUGGCCCCAUUUUCCCUCCAAAGACAAUGCUUAUCCUAUCAGAAAUCGGUAAAAGGGAACAUGUAUCAAAAAUAACUAUAAAGCUUUGUAGUCCUAAACAUUUUCUUUUUUUUUCAAAUUUCUUUUUCAGGAUUCUUUUUCUUGAUGUUUAUCUUUAAAUAAAAAAAAAAAAGUGAUGUGCUAGUGAAGCUUCUAGGAAAUUUGAAAAAAAAAAGAUAUGCUAAUGAAUUUGGAAAAAAUAAGUUUUUAUUAAUUAAACUCUUUUUUGAAGCUAUAGUAUUUCUUUCUUUCUUUUUUUGCCAGGCAAUCAGGGUUAAAUGACUUGCCCAUGGUCACACAUCUAGUAAGUGUCAAGUGUCUGAGACCAGAUUUGAACUCUGAUCUUCCUGCCUCCAAGGUUGCUGCUCUAACCACUGUACUGAUGAGCUGCUCCACCACAGGCUUUUAAUGCCUAUAAAGUUUUUCUUGCCUUUAAGAUUCACUAAAUUAUUAGCAAAAUAAAUUAUUUUAUGGGUUUUAUGUUACCACACAUUACUUAAAAUGUUGGACAGAUUCACUAUUAUGUUAUAUAUACCAGAAUUUAGUAGACUGGAACAAUGUGUUAUGGAUAAUGGGAUGCACUUAUCCAUGAUCUUUUAGCAACUUAUCUAUUAGUAACUAGAUCCUCAAUUUUUACAUGUAGAAAGAGGUAGAUGUAAGGUAAAGUUUCAAUUCUCUGUCAAAUUGGGGAAAAUGGCUUAAUUUUGAAAAGCUACAGUAACUUAAAUAGAGAAGUGCUGACAGACCCCCAAAUUUAAUCCUAUUCCUUUCUCAAAAAUAGAAAUUUAAAAUUUG